GACUCUUGUUUUUGUAUAACCUUUCCUCUCGCACAAAAAGCUCUCUAGGUCAGACAUUUCCACGCGUCCGCAGGGCGAGGAGCGGGAGCUGCUGCGGGACUCCGGCCUUGGCCGGGCCAGGGCAGGGGCUCGGAGCCGGGGCCGCGGCGCGCAAGGACGCGACCCCACCGCUGCCUGGCCGGCGUGAGAGCACCCUCCCGGCGCUGCUCCGCGGGCACGACAGCCUCCUCCUUACUGGGAAGGGAGAGGGCGGCAGCCGGGCCGGCUCCACCGAGACCCGAGGCCCAACGUCGCGACGCGGGCCGAGCGGCGGCCAGGCACCGCGCGCCCCCGUCACCCGUCUGUGGGUCUAGCCCGGGUGCCCGCACCAGUUCCGCGCUCGGGGAGGGGCCGGCAACGGGCCGGAGCGGGCAGCGGCGCCCGAGGAGAGAGCGCGGCUCCGGGCCUCGUGUCACUCACCGUUUGAAAUGCUCGAUGAUCUUCUCUUCCCGCACAUUCUCUGAAAAGAACGCUAUGCUGACUAUGUUGACUAUGAUACGUCUGUUUUGGUUCUCGUGGUUAAGAGGUCGCACUUUGGAGUCCCCUAAGCCAGUGCUGCCCUCUCCAGGUUACAGAGGCAGUGCCCGCGUUCAAACCUAGUAUCGUCGUCUGCAGUAUGAGGAUGCAGACUGGCCAGCACACCUCAGCGAGCCAGGAAUGAGUGCCCGUGAGCUCUCCCAGGCUGCAGCUGUGUCCAGAAUGAAAGGCUGUGGAGAGUGAUUGUCUGGGAUGACAUCCAUGUAGAGUGCUAGAAAGAUAUCUUCUCCAUACAGCAAACAUCUGGCAGGAGCUUUGCAGCUUACAAAGCCCUUUCCCAUACAUCAGCUCAUUAAAACUAUUUGAUGGAGGCAGCACUAUCCUAACUUAAUAAAGGAAGAAACUGAGAUUUAAGUUCCUAGGGCUGCAGAGUCAGCAUUCAAACUCGGUCUUCAAAAGGUUCAAGAGGUCUAGUGCUCUGAUUUUCACAAAGGUAGACAGUCGUUCGUCUAGAAAAACCUGACACUCUAAGUAGAGUUCACUCUGUUGUGUAAAGGCUGGACUAGGCCUGGAGAAAGAAUCAGGGUCAACAACCGCGUGUGGGUGCAGAUUCCUCAGACGCCGGGAAUCCAGAUAAGUGGCAGGGGCCAGCCAAAUCCUCGUGCAGUCUUCCCAUCUCCAGUCUUCUCCCUUUAGAGAAGUAAAUGAAUUCCUCAAAUUCCUCUGCCCCAGUUGUGUGAAAUGUUUGCCUGUGGGUUAGGACUGGCCUAUGUGUCCAAAAAGUGCUGCUUCUCAGGUGGCAUGAUUCCUGGGGCUCCUCGCUGUGGCUGGCCCCUCCCUCGCCACCCCCUUCACGGACCAGUUCCGUGCAGAUAUCACAGCUUGAGCUUCUCUCCUGUUACGUGAAGUGUGAUCCCUGUUAAAUUCCAAAACACCUUGGGAGUGAUACUUUAACACCAUUAGCAAUCACAAAUAUGGGUGAAUGAGUUUCAGAGCUUUUCCUGAGAACGGUGUUUUUUUCAUGGUAAAAUAAAACAUAUUAUAUGAGUGAUAAAUAUUAAUUACAGAAAGGUAAGCCUAACUGAUAGACUGGAAAAAGAGUUUCAGAGCAGAUCCGCACCAAUAUGGAAGCUGAGGCACUGAUAAAUGGUGGUGUCAGUAACCUGCGGCAAAUGCGAAGGUGAGUAAAAUGUACUGGGAUAAUUGGUAACCCAUUUGGAAAGAAAUGCACUGGAUCUUACCUCACUAUACAUACACACACAGACACACAAAUCAAUCCAGAUAUUGACUAGGAGGGCAAAACUUUAAAACUUUCAGAAAUUUUAGGAGAUGAUUAUUAUGAGCUCAGAGUACAGAAGGUUUCUUAAGAUUAAAAAAAAAAAAAAA